rnacentral:rRNA from 1 species
ACUCAAAUGAAUAGACGGGGACCCGCACAAGCGGUGGAACAUGUGGUUUAAUUCGAUGCAACGCGCAGAACCUUACCAAGGCUUGACAUGGAGGGCAAAGUUGAAGAAAUUCAAUGGAGGUUAUCCCAACACAGGUGGUGCAUGGCCGUCGUCAGUUCGUGCCGUGAGGUGUAUGGUUAAGUCCUAUAACGAACGCAACCCUUGUGCUUAGUUGCUAACAUUAAGUUGAGAACCCUAAGCAGACUGCCAAGGCAACUUGGAGGAAGGAGAGGACGACGUCUGGUCAUCAUGCCCCUUAUGCCUUGGGCUACACACGUGUUACAAUGGUUAGGACAAAGAGCUGCUAACCCGCGAGGGCAAGCUAAUCUCAAAAAACUAACCUCAGUUCGGAUUGAAGUUUGCAACUCAACUUCAUGAAGUUGGAAUCGCUAGUAAUCGCAGAUCAGCAAUGCUGCGGUGAAUACGUUCUCGGGUCUUGUACACACCGCCCGU